AGGCCAGACCAUGGCGAGUGGACAUGCCCACCAGAAUGGAGCAGCUCCUGGCGAUAAACCCCACCUCAGGCAAAAAUGAACCAUGAGGCACCAAGUGGGAAGAUGGAGUCCAGUGCCUGGAACUCCUGGUCCAAGCAGGGAGUGGGCUUUGUGCUGUUAUACAGCUGUACGGAGGGAACAGCCAGGUCUGGAAGUUUAGGAGCCCAACUUAUGGGUAAGGAAGCCAUGGCCCUCCCUCAGUGUCUGCUUAGCAAACUCACUGCCACCUAGGCCAGUUUCCUCACUCCUGCCUCGAGACUCCAUCUUUUCUCUGCACCUCCGAGGGCUCCAGGCCACAGCUCUCGGCACCCCCGAUGUAAAGAUUUGUGAUCGGUAUGUUGUCUCCUCUGGAGUCGGCAACAGAGAGUCAAUGGAACAGCUGACGAAGCAGGAUGCGCUGAAAAUAAGAUUUAACCCCGUGACUGCUCACCAAAGUGAGAAAGAUUAUAUGCUAGAAUGGUACAUGGAGCGGGUUCCAUGGUCCGCAUAGCUGACUGCCGCAGAGAUGCCUCCAGAGCGAGCUGUGUGCCUUCAAUGCCAUUGUGUCUUGGAAUCCUGUUGGCAAUCUUCUACAACUUUUCAAACUGGGGCAGCUUAAUUAGAAUCCUGACUUCACUCCUUUCCAUCAGCAAUUUGCUUAAGUUUUGAAAAACAUCAUUAAAACAAAGGAUGCAGUGAGUAUGCCAGAACAUCGAGCUUAUUUGUUUCUGAGACAAGAUCGUGAGGAGGGAAGUGACUUGCAAAUGAUUAAUAGACUUGGUAUUUGGGCUUUGCAGCCUUGAUUUCCAGCCUUGGAGCUUGCACUUAAUUUUGAGAAAGACCAGCCUGUUGCUGCAGCUGCAUUUCUGUAUUGGAUCGACCAGCCCACUAGCAUUUCGUCCUGCCCAGCAGAGCUAGACAGGAGGCAAAAUUAAAAGGAAACAUUUGAAGGGCAACCGGACUAGAACAGAAGACUAACCAUGAAUUAAUUUUUUCCCACUUCGUCUUGAACAAUGACAGGCAGUUGGUCUUUUCAUCCCCCCGUGUUCAGCCUUGGCAAGGAUGUGUGUUGUGCAGGUGGCCGAGGCUCCCCGAGUCAGUGUGAGGGCAGAGCGAGAAAUCUGGGAAGAUCGUGAACUCACUGGUGUUGAGCUUCUGAUUUGGAAACACAUCACUUUCUUUUUCUUUUCUUUUCUUUCUUUUUUUUUUUUUUGGUGAUAGCUUUAUUUAUUAAGGUAGAAUUCACACACUCUAUAUUUCACCCAUUUGAAAUGUAUAGCUCAAUAGUUCUGUCUUUGCAUACAGUUGUGCAACUAUCACCACAAUGAAUUUUAGAACGUUUUUAUUACCCCCCAAAGAAACCCCAUACCCUUUAGUUACCUCUGUCCCCGAUAUACCCUCUUCUACCUAUUUACUU